ensembl:lncRNA
GUCGCUUUAUUUUAAGGAAUGGAAUCCACCUUUUUUUUUCUCUAAAAGUUUAUUAAAUGCUUUCAAGAGAUUUGGUCCACAUGUGUGAUCAUUAACUUCCAACCAGGGAGGAGAAAAGAAAAAACAAAGUCAAGAGGAAAAAACCCAAAAAUAUAACAACAAAAUGUAAAAAAACAAAAACAAACAAACAAAAAAACCACGUACAAAACAAACAUACAGAGGCCUUGUUUUUUCCACUUCUUACAUCCCUGGUUUCCUCAUUCGAAGUUGCCGAAAACAAUAAAAAAAAAAAAAAAAGAAAAAAAAUUUUCUAACCUUUUUGAAAACUGAUUCGUUCAGUCUUUUGUAGCUGUGUAGGUGUGUGUUGGUGCUGCCAAACACAUGACACAAACUUCUUCGGAGGGUGGGGGAGCCGGAGUGUCAAGAGGCAAUGGGGGAUGGUAGGUCACUUGAAUAUUUCUUUUUGGAGCAGAAACUGGGGAGCGUGUAACGUCAUUUCACUGCUGCAAGAUGCAAUAAAGUGAAGUGAUUGGAUCAGGACACUUUAUCAGAACACACAACUUUGAAGUCAAGUGACAUUCAGGAGAAGCAUGCCUGUGUAAGCAACAAAAUUCAUUAUGGACCCCCUUUACUUUAAGAGGGGGGAUAGAGUAAAGUAAUCUCUUCCACAUCUGCGCGAGCAAAUCUGGCUGUUUUAUCAGACGCUUUGGCACCAGAAUCCGUCGCACGCUCGAUAAGGUUGUGUCAUGAUUCAUCGGCAUUUAAAUGGCACGCACACAACAAGCAGCCCAGACAUUUGCUUCUUUGUUUCCCCUUUGUUUCCCCAACCUCUCUCACAAACACUAGGGAGAGGAGCCUCACCUCAAAUGAUCUGCUCUCUUAUUUAAACAGCAAAAAUCUAAAUCCAGAUCGACAAAUUUUAGUCUAAUGGCCAAAUGGGAUUUAAAGAAAAAAAUCAAAUUAUAUUUUCAUUGGGUGAGCGCCACUCUCCUUUACAGCCUGUCCCAUUUAACUCUCAAAAACAAGAUGCGAACACAUUUCUGACCACAGCACACUUUUCAACAGCCACGGGAAAAAAAGACAGCCCAUCAUCUCUUAUUCAGAUUACCUUAUAAGGGUGUCUAAGUAUUAUAAUAGGUAUCAGGUAUCAUAUACUGUAUAUAGUAAGGAGGGUUAUACAAUAGGGGUAUGUUAUCAUCUUAUAGGUGAAGUAUAUUGAAUAAGGCGCUAUACGGGAGUAUAUAAGCCUCUGUGUAUGCGGUCGUUUCCAGAUCUGUCCUUGCCCGGUGAAUCAGCUCAACCAGAGAGGCAAAGCAAAGGCAGUGAGCAGUGAGUUCUGCUGGUAGGAUCAAACUGAGACACUGCAAGAAGGAAAGACGUUACAGUAUAUAUACUUUAAUCAUCAACUAUCUAGUUUUACCCUUUGGUCCUACGAGCAGAUCUCAGAUAUAGCACUCAUGUACAAAUCUACAGCUGUUGUCAGCUGAUAAAUGAAAUCUACCAGAAUUUGGGUGUUUUCUGCUCACUGCCUUCACCCCCAAACAGAGCUGUGCACCAGCAGCAUACACAGACACAUAUUAUAUUCAUACAUGGAUACAUAUAUAAAGAGAGAGUUAUACAUUGCAAUUAACAUACAUAUAUCAAUAGCAUAUAGAAGAGAAAUCGAAAUAGCAAUCAUUAUAGUCAUCAUAUUCAUCAUAAUACUAGGAGCAGUAGUAAUACGAUCCCUCGAGGAAGCUAAUAAGAGGGCUGUUCCAGACAAGGCCUGAUCUGCUGCCACGCGACAAGCCAGGCUGACGUGCGAACUGCGUUUUUGGUCAGCUCGGGCCGAUUAGCCGUCUAAAUUCUGCUGCAGCGUUCAGUGGUCAGCAACAUCAGAAAACUCAUGUAAAGUAAGUAUCCUGUGGUUUGAUGCUCGUUUCUUUAGGUCUCUCCUUUGCUCCUCUUAACCACAGUGUUCUCCCGUACUAGCAGAGUGUACAACUGGAAAAUUACAGCAUCCUGCAAAUCCAGUUUAAGCGGUUCUGAUCGUGGAAAAAAACAAACUUCAACUUGACUGACUUGCUUGAUUUCUAGCCCUCUGCUCCAAGUGCAAAUAUUUAACCCUCUCACUGAUCCAUCUCUCCACAUUCAGCCACUUGUAUCUAACCCUGUCUGGAACAACCCACACUGAAGGAAAAUCUUUCAAAAUAAAAAGAAUCUUAAAAAAAAAAAAAAAAAAAAAAAAAAAAAUCACUAUAGUCAUCUAGUUCAGCGAUACAUGUCAUAUAGCAAUACCUCAAUAACAAGAAGUUCUAUGUAAUCAAUACAGGUUUUCAGGUUAUAUAUUUAUUAAGCUUAACUGCUAAGUUAUCAAUUAUUAUUAGUAAUAUAGCAUUAUUUGUAAAUAUGUAUAAUAUGUAUGUAUCUGAAUAUAGACAUACCUUCAUCGUGUCUAUCCACAUUAAAGGCUAGAAUAAGAUGGCAACAGAUAUCCUGCCUGUGUGUGUAUGAAUGUGUGUGUGUGUGUCACAUGUGGUGCUGUUUAUAGGCACAAUAUGUGGUGCGAAUUCUUUCCCCAUCUCAAGCUAGCACGUUUCCCCCAGGCGGGCUAUCGUUAGCUAUCGGGAACAGACACAUUUGUGUUCAUAUGAGGAACACAGGUCUCCAUCUGAAGGAUGUGGGAGUGCGACUGGUUUGUG